ACCUGUCAGUCAGAGUUCAGGGUAAAGCUCACAGGUGCAGGUUUCAUGGGAUUAACAGUUUGUUUUACAAGGUAGAAGUUAGCAUUUAGCACAGUAAUGUUCGACUUUUCUUCACACAGGACAUUCUCUUCAGGAGCACAGACACAAGAAAGAAUGGAAUAUAUCUGCACCUAACGAGGAAUGCUCUGAUACUGCCGAUACGGACCAUCCAUGAGUGAUGAUCGGCCGAUACCAACCACAUGCAUUAACUGUAAAUUCUUCAAUGCAUUUCAGGAUCAAUCAAGCCAGAACAAAUACAAUGUACAACCCUACCAGACUUGGAGGAUGUUCAUUCAGUUUGUCUAAUUUUGGAGAAAAACGAUACAGCCAGGACACAAAACUAAUCAUGGCUACCGCAAAACUUCAGUUUGGGUAACUUAUCGGACUGUCAUGAAGUUGUUUAACUUUCUGUGUGCAUUCUA